rnacentral:lncRNA from 1 species
AAAAAAAACCUUCAAUUUUUGUCAAAAAAAUAAAUUCCAUUGUCUCUAACUAAUUAUUGAAAUUUUAAACAUGUGUUUGGUCUAACGGUAUGGUAGAAAAAAUCACGGCAAAAAUUCACGGUAACUACAAAAUCUAAAAAUUUGUAAUUUCUUUGAAAUUUGAGUUUGUAACUUCGAACGUCAAAUAAUCGUUCAUUAAGUCUCUAAAGCUCACAUGAUCAGACCAGCUUUGAUUGCAAAAUAUGACCAACUAAUUACUAAUAAACAUUUAAUUUUGUUAGCAGAUCAAUUUAUCUGUUUAAUGUUAAAAUAAAUCUGAUCCAAUUCAAUACUUUUGGACAUAGAUUGAAAUGGUUUCCCCCCCCCCCCCCCCCCCUUUUUUUUUUUUUUUUUUGUAAACUAGGUAUCCUCCGCGCGCAACUGCGGAGACUAAUCCCUCGAGCAUUGUGAGACCCAAAUGGACGGCAGACUCUCCCUAAGAGUUUUAACGCUGCUGGAGGUAUUGUAAAUAAUAUUUUGUGUUAUAUUAUUUUUAAGAGUGUAUAUUUCUAUAUAAAAAGAGUGAGUUUUGCCUUCAACCUCGAGGUAAUCGGUUUGAGACCUAGGCACUGAGAACAUGAGUUUUUUCGAUUAGCUCUUUAAAAAAUUAUUUAUAGGAGGAAUAAUUGUUUUUAUGGAAUUUGUCGUGUAAUAAAAAUCUAAAUCGUCUAGUCUACAAUUUUGUAUAGUCUUCAAUUAUGUUGUGAAUUCGGGCUUUGAAACUUCACACCAAUCCAAACUAUGAUGUGUGGAGAAAGUAUCAAUGGCAACCAACAACCAAAUUAACCAUAAGCAAUAACAAUAAUAUAUACCAAGUCUAUAAACCAAGUGCAUAGCAAAAUCACAAUCCAACCAAAUAAUAAACAAGAUAAAAGAGUAAAGAAAAAUAGACAACAACACCAAGAGAUUGUUCACCCAGUUCGGUCCAACCAUGACCUACUCUGGAGGAGAGAUUGAUCUCUUCAAUCCACUAUCAAUGAGUUCUUACAAAGAGAUACAAAUGAGUUACAAGAAAUUAGCUUCAACAAGCUCACAAAAAACAACCCUAAUUUCUACCAAUUUUCCCAAUCUCACCAAUGAACAAGACACUCAUGAUUUUUACUCUCCCAAGGUGUUUACAAUUGUUUCACAACUCUAGAAUCUAACCCCCAAAAGAGAACCAACUCUUAGCCUUUGAUUUCACUUAGGAUCUUCUCUUUUGGUUUCACAAGACUCACCCAAGUUGCUCGCAAAUGACUCUCCACUCAUGUGUUUCCCAACCCCAUGAAUCUUCUCCAAAAGGCACCAACCCUUUUCACAAGAGCCCCCUCUUUUGGUUCUCCAAGAUUCACAUCUUGAAGCUUUGAACCUCACCCAAAGACCCUCAACCUUUAGUAUCUAAAACCCUAAAAGUUUCAUCCUUUGGUUGUUAUGGGAUUCACCAAGCUUACCCAACAAAUGGAUCAGGGAGUGUUUAAAACAUGUUUCAGAUCUGUCAAAAUCGUGUCACAUUUUGCCUUCAGAACCAAACAUGCAUUCGGCAUCAGAAAUCGUGACACGGUUGCCAAAUCGUGUCAUGAUUCUUCACUUUCAUAAAGACUUAAUUUUGAGUCAUAUAUAUACCAACAAAUUCAAAUUAUAUAAAUGGACGGUAUAUUCUUUAGUAAAAGUAUUAUUUCACAAUUUAAUACGUAUUAUUAAAAGAAAUUAGAAACAAUUAUCAAAAAAUUAUGAUAGAUAAUAUAUUAAACUCGUCUAGUGUGUGUGUAUUUUUGAAGGAUAGUGUGUGUGUGUAUUAACAUCAUUCUCUAAUUAUUUUUGUAGGGAAACAAUGUUGGUUAAAUUGAUGUGUACUUUUUUUUGUAAAAAAUAAUCGACGUAUUUUUAAAUGAGAUUUACAUGUAGAGAGAGACAGCGGUAGACAUAGUAGUAGAACAAUUAAAAUUUAAAAGACCACUUUACAAAUUGCACCAAGUGGUCCUCUAAAAAAGAUCACCGACAGUUGCUUCACUUUACCUUCAUAUAUUUUAGAGCAAUGAUAUUUGAACAAUUAUUUAGUACAACAUUUUUUGACAAUCUUCUUUUUCUCUCUUUUUAUUGGUCAAAAAUAAUGAAGAGAAAAAAGAAGAGAUAGAGUAAAAAUAUAAUAUGAAUAUGAGAAAAAAAAUUGUCUAAAAAUUAUCACAAAAUGGUUGUACAAAUAUUAUUUCUCCAUAUUUUAGACACAGGCUAAUCAUUAAUUAAUUUGUGUAAAAAAAAACAAUAAUAUUAUUUUGACAACAUUAUUCAACACCUUAUCUUUCUUUCAAAAAACAUUAUUCAACACCUUAUGUUCAUAUUAUCAUUUGAUUUUCUUAAUUAUGUUUUACAUCAGUCACAUCAAGUGACAUUUUACACGCUUAUCAAUUUUUUUUGUCAAGUAGCCUAGUGUUUAGAACUCAUAUAAUUUAAUUGUGAAGAAAUGAAGUGUCAGAGAUUCGAACUCCAACCCCUGCAUAUAAUAUGCAAUAUCCCUACCAACUGAACUAAGCUCACGAAGAUCGCGGUUAUCAAUUUUUGUAGUUCAAAUAACAUCACUAAAAAAAGCUACGAGGCAGACGCACAAAUUUUCAUUGAGCAGUUGUGUUAAUUAAUUUUAUAACGCAAGGAAAAUGGUGAAGUUUUUGUGAAUAGAGAAAUGAUAUAUAUACAAUCAUUUUCAAACAACUUUUGUAAUAACUUUAUCUCUCAUUUUUAUAUUUUAUUUUUAUUUUUUUCUCUAUUAUUUUGGUUUUCGUUUAUGAUUUUUUGUAAGAAAAUGAUUGUCUAUGUAGUUAUCAAUCACAUUGAUGUUCAAAUAACAUUGCUUUUGUGAAUAAUGCAAAAUAGUUUCUCGGAACAAUCAAUUAUUCAAUUGAUAUUUACGAAAUUAGUUUUUGUAGGGUGUCCCUAUAAAUCACAUAUACUUUAAAACAGUCAUAUGUAUUCACGAUUCGAGAUCUUAUAAAAAAACCAUUCCAGAUCAUGUAUGAAAAUGAAAUAUAUAUUUUUUUUGACUGGUGUAUGAAAAUGAAAUAUUUUCAAAAAUAAAAUAUACUCUCUGCCCAUAUAAUGUCAGCGUAGGUGUCGGUGUUUUUCUACCGACUAUAAGAAAAACUGUAAAAUAAAUAAAACAAUAUAGUAAUUUAAAUUAGUGAUUGUAAAUUAUUGUCUUAAAUGUAUAGUUCAAUAUAAUAGAUUAAAAAUGAUGAAAAAAAUAUUAAUUUAAGAGUAGAAUUGAAAUAACAUAUAUGUUUUCGAUAGUUUAACUAAAUUGAUAAAGACAUUGCAUAAUAAUAUACAAGUGUUUUGAAAUUCCAUUUAUUCAUUACAUGUGAAUUUUUAGAUAUUAAACUAUUUGGAAAAUAAAAUAAAAUAUCAAAUAAUUAAGGUUUAAAUAUGUAAGUAGUCCCUGUAAUUUCGCGUAUUUUUGUUUUCGUUCCUGUAAGUUAUUUUGUUCUAAAACAAACUCUGUAUUUUGCUAACCUUUUGGAAAAGGUCCUUGCCGUCAGCUUCCGUCAACAAAAACGCCAUGGUGGCUAACGGAGCACACGUGGCAGUUCAUGAGUUGGCAAAGUUGAUGAGAUGGAAUGAGAGAUGAUAAGUUGUUAAAAUACAGGGACUAAAAUCAAAAACGUAAAUUGACACAGGGAUGAAAUUAAAAAAACGUUUAAUCUUCUUUUUCCUCUCAAAUUUCAGUCUUCUUCUUCCUCUCAAACUUUCCCCAAUCUAUCCCAUACCUUGCGCCCUUGAACCAAAACUCAUAUCCUUCAACAAUUUAUUCUAAUUCCAUUACUCAAUCAUAUUGUGUGUUUUGAUUGUAAUGUUAAGUUGAAACAUUGUAUGCUACUUAAGUUUGAUUAAUUUAGUGAUGGUUGUUGCGAUUGAUUGCAAAUUCAUUCAUAAAGUUUGUAGAUAAUAAAGGCAAGAAUACAUCUUUUUCAUCCCUCUUUUUUUUCCACAAUUCCCUCUUAUUCUUCCAGAUUGCUACAAUUACCAUACAUAAAUAGUCAGAUCCCCUUUCAUCUUUUCUCACUCACAUUCAAAUUCAAACUCUAAUUUCUCAAAUUUUUGCUUUUGAAUUGUGUAAUUUUGUGUUUUUAUGUAAUUGGUGUAGAGAGUUUAUGUUGUUUUAAUGUGUUGAUUAAGAGUGGGUCUUGUUGUUGUUGAUUGAUGAUUAUUAGUUUUGUUUAAAAAAAUAUAUAUGUUUGUUGUUUUCUUUCUUUUCCUGGGUUUGGUGUUGAUGAUUUAUGAAUAUGGUGAUGAAGAUGAAGAAGACAAUGAAGGAAGAAGAAGAAUAAGAUCUUGAUUUUAAAUUUGAAAUUUUGAUUUUACGUUUUUUAUUUUAGUCCCUGUGGUAAUUUACGCUUUUGAUUUUAGUCCCUGACUUUACACAACUAAUCAUCUCUCAUGCCAUCUCAUCAAAUGUGCCAAGUCAUGACCUGCCACCUGUGCUCCGUUAGCCACAAUGGCGUUUUUGUUGACAGAAGCUGAUGGUAAGGACCAUUUUCAAAAGGUCAAAAAGAUACAAGGUUUAUUUUAUAUAAAAAAAAAAACUUACAAGGACGAAAACAAAAAAUACGCGAACUUAGAGGAACCUUUUACAUAUUUAAGCCAAUAACUAAUAGCACUUAUUUUGGUACAUUUCUCUUUUGCAAAUGUGAAACUUAAUAUUGGAUGGGGUCAAUAAUUUUGAGAAUGAAUAAACCCAUUAUUUAGUCUUUUAAUUUUUUUUUUCCAUCCAUCAGGUUUCUAAACUAUUUACAAACACUAAAUGUCCUUAAGACAUAGCUCAAGUAACAAUAUUGAUAUUGAGAAGUUGGAUAUUUUCAUCCGAGUUUGAACUCGAAUUCUUGCAAUUACGAGUGUGAAUUUCAGGUAAUUUAUAUCAAUUUAUCUGUAAACAAAAGGAGAUAUAUACGCGUAACAAAUAGGUCUAAUGCAAAUUAACAACUUAUUUUUAGUUUAUAAAAUAUAUGAAAUUUAAUCCUUUAGUCCCUAGUAUAUUUUAACAAUGGGCACUAAAGCAACAUAUAUUUCAUAUAUUUUAAAUACUACUACAUCUUUCCUUAUGUAUAAGCUCAUUUGACAUUUUCACAUAUAUUAAAAAAGUUAGUAGUGUCUUGACAAAAAAGAAGCUCCUUAGAGUUUCCUUAUGUAUAUUUUUUUAAACCGAAAAAAUUGUGUACAAAAAAUGACUAUUAUUACUAAAAAAAAUCUUUUGCAUAUAGAUGUGUUCAACAUUUAUUUUGCAAUUCUCAAGACAAAUCAGUGGUACAUCUUAAUAAGUGAUAUAUUUGUUAGGAAAAAAAAUUACUAUAUGUAUCUAGUUAUUUGCAAGACUAAUGAUUCUUAGCAAAUAUGCUUAUAUUGAGAGAACUUUUUUCUAAAGAGAGCUUAUAAUUAGAGACUAAGAUUUUGCCAAAAAAUAAAGAAAAAUUAGAGAAUAAGGUUUAUACUAUACUUUAGAAACUAAUUUGAUGAGAUACGACUAAAUCGAAGAUAUAUUUUUUUAGAAUAGUGUUAGAACCUUAGAAAUUAUAAUCAAUAGAAAUAGAAAUGUUCCUUACAGAUCCAUAAUAGUGACAAUCUUGUCUUUUCUUUUGAGGAAAUAAUAAUAAAGGUGGUGCCAACAUUUCAACAAACCUAGCUAUUUUAAUUAUUCUGUUCUCACAGCCUGCACCUUAGAUCAAAUCCAAAUUGGGUCAUCACCGUUCCAAAAUGCUUAGGGACGUUACUCUAAAUGUCAAUAUGAAUGAGUAAUUCAAAUAGUUAACAUAGCCCGCCAGCCUUAUAUAAUAAUAUCAAUAUAUGUCGACUAAUUAUCGAGAUGCUAAAUUGGAGUACACUUCACAAACAAAAAUCUUUCAUAAGGCGUUUUUUCUCUUAAUACAUUUUUUCUUUUCUUAUGCUAGUAACAUUUACUCUGUAUUGGCCUUCCUAAGAAGAAGUUGGAUAGUAGCAAUGUGUUCGUGAGACUGCUGAUAUCUUAAAAGAAUGUUCUCAUAGAUUCCACUUUUUUAGUAAGCUUUUAUGUGUAUGAGUUUGCAAAUUUAACCCUUUUUAAUUCGGAUAGAUUUAUAAGUCACACCUUCAAGUACAAUCGACAAAAUUUCAGUAAUAAUUACGGUUUAGGGUUUAUGGGUCUAGAUCUACUAAAAAUGAGUGGGUGUAUAAAUUAGUAUAUCCUAGAGUUUAUUAUCUUACGUUCGAUCUUCUUUGCAGAAACUCGUGCAUGUUCGUGAUAUAUAUUUUCGCGAGAAGUACAUUUCCCUAAAACAAAAUCAACCACUGACAUAAACACGUCAAAUGUAAGCCGGUAAAUCCAAGCUUUACUAACACGAGUUAUAUUAUAUCAUUGGCAUCAGCUACUUAAGAACUACUGUAGAAAAUUUACAGCAAGUCAUCGAGGCUUAAUAAAAUGUGUUGAUAUAGUUACAAAGAUAAAUUAAAUAGCAGAGCAUACAUGAAGAGAACAAAUGUAGAGCAACCCCUUAAACAAACCCUCUCAGUAAGGUAUCUUCACAUUACUCUAAGUUCAUAAAAGAUGACUUUAAAAACGAUUAUUUCAAAAUGCAAGUAUUCUCCGACCCCUUUUUCCCGGAUCUAGAUCUAAUAGUGUAAGGAUAUAUAUAAAUCAUUGUCACAUUUUACAACUCAAGAGUUUACCUCAACUCGUUUUGUUUAGGUAAAUUCGACUCGAGAACUCGUAUGACUUUACCUAAAAUUAAAAUUAUAUAAAAUUUAUUAUAUAUGCAUGACAUAUGUAAGUUAAUAUAAUAUUGUAAAUAGGUCAAUAGUGCAAAAUAUGACUUAAUUACAAAGACAAAUUAUACCAUAAUAAAAUGUUAUGCUCAACUUAGCUUCAAAAUACAAAAAUUAACGCACAAAAUCAUAAGUCUCUAAGUUUAAGCCAUCCAUAAAACCAUCCAAAAAAAGAAAGUUUCACAAGUUCCUAAAGUUAUUAAUAAAACUAUCUAAAAAAUAAAGUAGUUAAUUUCUUCAAAACGUCAACAAACACCACCACAACAACCCUAACCAGUGUCACAAUCACCGGCGUUGAAAUAUGAAUUUCCACCGUCUGAAUCACAACCCUAAAUGGUAUGUGCUCCCCUGUUCAUGGUUUGAGAACUUAGAAAAGAAAAAGGGCAAUCCGGUGCACUAAAGCUCCCACAUACGCAGGGUCCGGGAAGGGGUCCCACCAUUUUUUGUGUAUUGUACGCAACCUUACCCUGUUUUUGAUCACAAAAGAAAAAGAAACGUUUCAUUUUAGGAACAACUUGUCACUGUAAAGGUAACUAUUAAUUAAACGUUUCAGUCUUUGGGGUUGUAGAAAAGGAAUUGGAUUUUGAAAAAAAUGGGCACAUAAAAAGGGCCAAUUUUUAGAUGUAAACUCGUAAAACUCAGUAAACUCGGUCGAGUUUACACGAGUUUACCUAGUGUUAACUCGGUCAAACUCGUUAAACCUUCCAAUUUUACCAGAAACCGAGUUUACCUCCGAAUUAACAUGAUUUUGGCACCUACGUAAACUCGAAGAGUUAACACUCAAUUUGCGGAACAUUGCAUAUAUAUUUAAAGAUAUAUGUAUAAUUAUAGAGAAAGUAGAGAAGGGAUAUACCAUUUUAUGUAGGGUUAUUAUGUAUCAAAUCAUAAAGAGUCGAGAGUUGUAUUAUACCAUAAUAUUCUUCCGUAAACUGGUAGUCAUGAUCAUGACGUAUAUUAUUCAAGUAUAUGCAAAAACAUGUCUGUAUCUAGUCUAAAUUUUUGACCAAAUGCAUGUAUUUGCUUAUAUUUUGUUACUACUUACUACUCGCCAAGUAAUGCUCAAUAUCUAAUAUAUAUAUUUCAAGACCAUCAAAGAUAACUCAGUUGAACAAUACAUAAUAUAUGCAAGGUUCGGGGUAUAUUACAUUUUCAAUUAUUCUAAUAAUAAAUUUAAAUGACACUUAAAUUAUACAACUAUUAAAUAGAUCUUAGUACCGUAAAAUUUAUAUUCGAGACUUGCUAGGGAGAACCAUCAACCUCAACAAAAAUUUCUACUUGAAUCUAACGCAAACAAAAGGUCCAACCAUCUAUGAAUCUCCGUUGAUAUCACAAAUGAUGUUUGAUACAAGAGAGACAUAUUAGAACAUAAUCUAUGUACAAUCUACAUUAAAAUAAAAAACAAGUCUACAGUCAUAUAAAUAACACAAUUUCAAAAUCUCAAAAUUAGGUAUGAAAACAAAAUGAUUAGAAAAAUAAAUGAUUCAAUCAUUCCGAGAUUUGUGCAAAAAAAAAAAAAAAAACAUUUUGAAAAUACAAUGUUAGAAACUUAUGAUCAAUAUAUAUUUUUCCUUACACAUCAAAAAUAAUUAAGCUAUAUUCUUGUCUUUUCAUUUUGGGCAAACUAAAAUUAAAAUCAAGGUAGUGUCAAUGUUUCUAUAGUCCUAGCUAUUUGAUUUUCUUCUAAGCUAACAAGAGUCUUCCAAAAUCAAAUUCGCGCUCAAAAUUAAAGCAACUUGGGUGGUAACCAUUCCAAAAUACUUAGGGCCACAUUGCUCUAAAAGUCAAUAAGAAUAAGUAAUAAUUCAAAGAUAGCCAACCUUAUAGUAUAUUUUAAUAUGAAUGUAUGCAUGUUUCCUAGAAGGUGAGUAAGCUAACUAAUCAAGAUACUUUGUUGGAGUUAAAUAUGGUAAAGAAUCCAACUAUAAAAUGGGGACUUGCCCCAGCAUUCUUUCACAAACCAAAACCAACUUCUAAGAAAAAAAUGAGGUCCCUAAUGGCCUCUGCUUCUCUCACUCUUGCAUUAGCCAUCCUCUUUUUGAGUUUCCCAUCUGAAAUUUCAGCAAACAAAUACGCAUAUUCCUCUCCACCACCACCACAUUACUCAUCUCCUCCACCUCCACCGGUUCACACUUACCCUAAACCAGUCUACCACUCUCCACCACCACCAGUUCACACCUACCCUAAACCAGUUUACCACUCUCCACCACCACCAGUUCACAAGUACCCUCACCCUAAACCAGUAUACCACUCUCCACCACCCCCAGUUCACAAGUACCCUCAUCCACACCCAGUCUACCAUUCUCCACCACCCCCAGUUCACAAGUACCCCCAUCCUCACCCAGUGUACCACUCUCCCCCACCACCACCACCAAAGAAGUCCUACAAAUACCCAUCUCCCCCACCACCACCAGUUCACACCUACCCUAAACCAGUCUACCACUCUCCUCCACCCCCAGUUCAUCACACCUACCCUAAACCAGUCUACCACUCUCCUCCACCCCCAGUUCACACCUACCCUCACCCUAAACCAGUCUACCACUCUCCACCACCCCCAGUUCACACUUACCCUAAACCAGUCUACCACUCCCCACCACCACCAGUUCACACCUACGUCCCUCACCCUAAGCCAGUCUACCACUCUCCACCACCACCAGUUCACACCUAUCCCCCACAUGUUCCCCACCCAGUUUACCAUUCUCCUCCUCCUCCAGUUCAUUCCCCACCUCCACCACACUAUUACUACAAAUCACCUCCUCCACCUUACCACAACUAGAUAGCCCAUAAUUGGCAUCACACCAUAUGGUAACUUUUCAUGCAACAUAUAUAUUAUAACUUUUCAUAUUCUCUCUUUAUUAACUAGUUAUCGGUAUGAUUGUCGAGUAUAUACUAACAAGGCUAAUUUGAAAUGAAACUUCAUGUGCAAUGAAACAUUCUUUUACUGGUUAAUAUUUUAUUCUAUGUUUCAUUGAAAUUAAUAUUUUUCUAAUAGUAUUUGGUUAUUAAGGGAUUAGAGUAUAUCAGACAUAAACUGACAGAUCAAUAUAUUUGCAUUUGUGUAGGAUCUAAAC